ACCAACGUAGCUCAACGGAAGAGCUCCUGAAAGGGAAGAUGGAGGUUCGAUUCCUCCCGUUGGUA
rfam:Phytophthora megakarya strain zdho120 scaffold_3917, whole genome shotgun sequence.